rnacentral:rRNA from 1 species
CGCGAAUGGCUCAUUACAACAGCUAUAAUUUACUUGAUCUUGACACUAUCCUACUUGGAUAACUGUGGUAAUUCUAGAGCUAAUACAUGCAUUAAAGCUCUGACCUCACGGGAAGAGUGCACUUAUUAGAACAAAACCAAGCGGCUUCGGCUGUUUUCGGUUGACUCAUAGUAACUGAGCUGAUCGCAUGGUCUUGCACCGGCGACGUGUCUUUCGAGUAUCUGCCGUAUCAACUUUCGAUGGUAGUGUAUCUGACUACCAUGGUGAUCACGCGUAGCGGAGAAUAAGGGUUCGACUCCGGAGAGUUCGCCUGAGAAAUCGCGAACACAUCUAAGGAAGGCAGCAGGCGCGAAAAUUACCCACUCUCAGCACGAGGAGGUAGUGACGAAAAAUAACGAGACCGUUCUCUUUCGAGGCCGGCCAUCGGAAUGGGUACAAUUUAAACCCUUUAACGAGUAUCUAUGAGAGGGCAAUUCUGUGCCAGCAGCCGCGGUAAUUCCAGCU